GACGGACGCUGGCGGCGUGCUUAACACAUGCAAGUCGAACGCUGAAGCUCAGCUUUUGUUGGGUGGAUGAGUGGCGAACGGGUGAGUAACACGUGAGUAACCUGCCUCCUUCUUUGGGAUAACGCCCGGAAACGGGUGCUAAUACUGGAUAUUCACUGGUCUUCGCAUGGGGGUUGGUGGAAAGGGUUUUUCUGGUGGGGGAUGGGCUCGCGGCCUAUCAGCUUGUUGGUGGGGUGAUGGCCUACCAAGGCUUUGACGGGUAGCCGGCCUGAGAGGGUGACCGGUCACAUUGGGACUGAGAUACGGCCCAGACUCCUACGGGAGGCAGCAGUGGGGAAUAUUGCACAAUGGGCGCAAGACUGAUGCAGCGACGCCGCGUGAGGGAUGGAGGCCUUCGGGUUGUGAACCUCUUUCGCUCAUGGUCAAGCCGCAACAAUGGUUGUGGUGAGGGUAGUGGGUAAAGAAGCGCCGGCUAACUACGUG
rnacentral:rRNA from 1 species